rnacentral:rRNA from 1 species
UCGCACCUGCCGAUUGAAUGGUCCGGUGAAGCCUCGGGAUUGUGACCGGUUCGCUUCAUUGUGAGUUGGUCGCGAGAACUUGUCUGAACCUUAUCAUUUAGAGGAAGGUG